AUUUAAUGGCUUAGACAAGCUGUCACCUUCCUCUUCUGGAGAGAUGGCCAUUAUAACAAAGCACUAAGAAUAAUAUUAAGUAAUGAUAAAGCCAUUCAAUGACCUGAUGACAUAUGCAAGAUUCCAUAUGAGUAAAUACUCCUGACAUUUGCCAAGGAAUGGAAGGAGGGAACACCAUGCCCUCAAUCAGGUACUCAUUUCCCUAAUCCAUCUUUAUUUCCUCAUCACUUCCCUUCAGGCAGUGAACAGGGAUGAAAGCAAUUUUGUGUGUACCCAAGGUCUUAUCCAGCCCAUCAUAAUCCCUGGAGAUGUUUCCUAGGCUCUUUCUGGGUUUCAUUUGUCCCCAGGAUAGUUCGCAUCGGGAAAAGAAAGACUUUUCUCAUGACCAGAGUGAUCAACUGUAGGAUGGGGUUGCCACCCCAAAGUCUUAGCUUGCAGUCCCUUGGAAAUCCCCAAAUAAGUGAAGAGGUAAUCAGCCUCGAGCUUAUUUAAGGACACAAGUCCCCCAAAACUUCAUGCCAUUAGGUCUAGAUGAGGUGCAUCUUAGAUUAGUUACUAUCGCUGCAUUGCUCUUGGUGAUCUUUGAAUUAUCCAAGUAUUGGGCAUCUUAUACAACGAAUUCCCAUCUUGGAUAGGAAGGUAAGCCAGGUGAUCUCUGACAACAUUAACUAUUUUUUGAACCAAAUAUUGGGAUGGAUGGUUUGACAAAGGAACAUUUGGGGGCAAAUUUGGUUCCCUAAGAUCAGGAUAGUCAUGGGACCUUUUAUGUAACGUCACACACUUAUAGUGUUUGUAGGCUUUUUUUUUUAACCCUUACCUUUCAUCUUAGACUCAAUACUAAGUAUUGGUUCCAAGGCAGAACAGUGGUAAGGGCUAGGCAAUGGGGGUCAAUCGACUUGCCCAGGGUCACACAGCUAGAAAGUGUCUGAGGUCAGAUUUGAACCUGGUUCUCAAUCCACGGAGCCAUCUCUCUGCCCCAGUUUUGGCUCUGAAACUAGAAACACCAUAUUCUGAUGUGUGGUAUGCUAUUGGAGUUUCUAUGUAGAAUGAACAGGGGCAAUACAAUGAUGGAAGCCUCCCUAAGAUGGGCUCAAAAUUGAGAUGUUUGUCUUCUGUUCAGGAUUCUCUACUGAGGUGGACCUGAUCUUUUGAGACAUGCCUUUUUAAUUAUAAUGUUAACUUACUCAUAAAAGGAGGCUACAAUUGCUUGUGUUUUACAUUUUACAAGGUUGUAAAGAUUUUAAAAAAGGCUUUGUAGACCUUCAAGUGCUUUUGAAAUGAGUUAUUAUCAUUAUUACUGGCUUUAUUCAUCAUUUGCCCCGAUAUUGGACUUUCUGAGAUCUUUUUAUGAUUCAUGGCGAGAGGUGAUUUUCUUUGGGGGAACCCUGAUCUAUGCUUUCCUUAUUAUAGGGCGCUCCCUAGGAGGAAACUCCCUCUACCCAUAUAGUUUGGCUGAUUGUCUGGAGCAUAAUCUUAGACUGGGCUUUUGAAUUAUUUUUUAUAACGUGGAUCUCUUUGACAGUUUAGUGAAGUCUCUGCACUCCUCAAAAUAAUAUUUUUAACCUCAUAAAAUAAAACCAUAUAAUUACAAGGGAAACAGGUUAUAUUGAAAUAGAGGGCAUGUAUGAGUGUGUGUUGUGUGUCUUUUACUAGGCUUUGGUGUCUUCCAGAUCACCUAAGUUGGUGACACCCAUGUGGGAGUCCCCAGGGACCUGCAUUCCCCUCCCAUUAGGAGAAGCCUUUUUUUUCUUAUCUGUGUAGCAGGUAUUGCCUCGAUUUUCAAGACGACCAGGUUGGCAUUGGCACAGACUCUUUUUGUCUUUCUGUCUCUGUCUCUCUUUCUUUCUGGUGGCAGAUGGGGUGAAAGUCUUAUUUACCCACAAUAUGGGCAGUCUUGGGGGGGAAGGUCCCCUUUCCCUCCCUUUAGGCCCUAUUGUUAAUAGGUUUGGAAUUUUGUUCUGCUUUGUUUGUUCUAUUUGGUCCUAGAUAUGGGAAGUAAAAUCCCCAGACCAGGCGGCUUGAGAGAUGGUGAACUUAGAGCAAGGAUUCUGGGCAAGAUGUUGCUACCAGCUUGGCAAGGAAAUCUUAAGAAGCCAGAGUGCCAGGACACAAGCCCAAUGGGGCUUUGAAUUUAGAGGACCAAACAGGACCAAUCCAAUCUCUCUUACACAGGACAGCCAGCAAACUCUUGAAGGCGGUGAUCAUGCCUCCCUAGACCCUUCUCUUCACAAGAAAUGCAUGUGGCAUGUCUACAGGGUUCAGUGUGAGAACUGAAGAAUAGUGAAGAGUGAAUAAUGUGUGAUGUGCCAAGUCCUUGACAAGAAUGAUCUCAUUUGCUCUUCACAAUCACUCUGGGAGCAUUGUGACUGCCAACAUGCUUGUGUGAAUUAAGUGAAUGAAGACUGAGGCAACGUUUUUUUGGCCAAUGUUUCUUAUCCACUGAAAACCUGGAGCACAACUUUUCAUGCUGAGUGGAGCAGUGGAUAGAAUACUGAGCCUGGAGUCAGGAAGACCUGAGUUCAAAUGUGACCUUGGACAUUUACUAGCUGUGUGACCCCUGGGAAAGUCACUUCACCUUGUUUUCCUCAGUUUCCUCUUAUGUAAAACAAGGAGAAGGAAAUGGCAAACCACUGCAUUACAUUAUCUUUGCCAAGAAAAUCCCCCAAAAGGAGGCAUGAAGAGCUAGACAGGCCUGAAAAAUGAAUGAACAGACCAAAGACAAAGGGCUCUUGCCCUCAAGCAGCUUACCUUCUAGCAGAUAUGCAGAGACGUGAAAAUGAAGUGUAUAUAAUAUGCUUGGGGAAAGCUGGAAGAAGGAGGGAAGAGAUGAAUAAAGACCACUCACUACCUGAAAAA